ACAAGCAGCGGAGCGUGUGGUUUAAUUCGUUGCUACACGAAGAACUUACCUGGGUUUGACAUAUAGGUUGUAGGGAACUGAAAAGGACGACCCUUCGGGGAGCCUAUACAGGUGUUGCAUGGCUGUCGUCAGCUCGUGUCGUGAGAUGUUCGGUUAAGUCCGCUAACGAGCGCAACCCUCGUCGUAUGUUAUAUGUGUCAUACGAGACUGCCGGUAAAAAGCCGGAGGAAGGUGAGGAUGAUGUCAAGUCAGCAUGACCUUUAUAUCCAGGGCUACACACACGCUACAAUGGUCUGUACAAUGGGUAGCCAAGCCGCGAGGCGGAGCCAAUCCUGAAAGCAGGCCUCAGUUCAGAUUGCAGUCUGCAACUCGACUGCAUGAAGCCGGAGUUGCUAGUAACCGCAGGUCAGCAAUACUGCGGUGAAUACGUUCCCGGGUCUU
rnacentral:rRNA from 1 species